rnacentral:rRNA from 1 species
UACGGAGGGUGCGAGCGUUGUCCGGAAUCACUGGGCGUAAAGGGCGCGUAGGCGGCCUGAUAAGUAGGGGUGAAAGUCCUGCGGCUUAACCGCAGGGCUGCCUUCUAAACUGUCAGGCUAGAGCACAGUAGAGGCAGGUGGAAUUCCCGGUGUAGCGGUGGAAUGCGUAGAGAUCGGGAAGAACAUCAGUGGCGAAGGCGGCCUGCUGGGCUGUUGCUGACGCUGAGGCGCGACAGCGUGGGGAGCAAACAGGG